CGAACGCUGGCGGCAGGCUUAACACAUGCAAGUCGAGCGCCCCGCAAGGGGAGCGGCAGACGGGUGAGUAACGCGUGGGAACGUACCUUUUGCUACGGAAUAACUCAGGGAAACUUGUGCUAAUACCGUAUGUGCCCUUCGGGGGAAAGAUUUAUCGGCAAAGGAUCGGCCCGCGUUGGAUUAGCUAGUUGGUGAGGUAAAGGCUCACCAAGGCGACGAUCCAUAGCUGGUCUGAGAGGAUGAUCAGCCACACUGGGACUGAGACACGGCCCAGACUCCUACGGGAGGCAGCAGUGGGGAAUAUUGGACAAUGGGCGCAAGCCUGAUCCAGCCAUGCCGCGUGAGUGAUGAAGGCCCUAGGGUUGUAAAGCUCUUUUCACCGGUGAAGAUAAUGACGGUAACCGGAGAAGAAGCCCCGCUAA
rnacentral:rRNA from 2 species